CAAUAGCGUAUAUUAAAGUUGUUGCGGUUAAAAGCUCGUAGUUGGAUUUCUGCCGAGGACGACCGGUCCGCCCUCUGGGUGAGUAUCUGGCUUGGCCUUGGCAUCUUCUUGGAGAACGUAGCUGCACUUGACUGUGUGGUGCGGUAUCCAGGACUUUUACUUUGAGGAAAUUAGAGUGUUUCAAGCAGGCAUACGCCUUGAAUACAUUAGCAUGGAAUAAUAAGAUAGGACCUCGGUUCUAUUUUGUUGGUUCUAGAAUCGUGACAAUGAUUAAUAGGGAUAGUCGGGGGUAUUUGUAUUCAACUGUCAGAGGUGAAAUUCUUGGAUUUGUUGAAGACAGACUACUGCGAAAGCAUUUACCAAGGAUGUUUUUCAUUGAUCAAGAACGAAAGUUAGGGGAUCGAAGACGAUCAGAUACCA
rnacentral:rRNA from 1 species